rnacentral:rRNA from 1 species
AACGAACGCUGGCGGCAGGCUUAACACAUGCAAGUCGAGCGGGCGCUUUCGGGCGUCAGCGGCGGACGGGUUAGUAACGCGUGGGAACGUGCCCUUUGCUCUGGAAUAGCCCUGGGAAACUGGGGGUAAUACCGGAUGUGCCCUGAGGGGGAAAGAUUUAUCGGCAAGGGAUCGGCCCGCGUCUGAUUAGGUAGUUGGUGGGGUAACGGCUCACCAAGCCGACGAUCGGUAGCUGGUUUGAGAGGGUGCUCAGCAACGCUGAGACUGAGACACGGCCCAGACUCCUACGGUAGGAAGAAGGGGGGAAUAUUAGACGAUGGGCGCAAGCCUGAUCCAGCCAUGCCGCGUGUGUGAUGAAGGCCUUAGGGUCGUAAAGCCCGUUCGCCGGGGAAGAUAAUGACGGUACCCGGUAAAGAAACCCCGGCUAACUCCGUGCCAGCCGCCGCAGUAA